AAUGAAUUGCCUGAUAAAAGGAUACCUUGAUAGGGUAAAUCAUGUAAUAACUCUUACAUUCAUUA
rnacentral:tRNA from 1 species